rnacentral:rRNA from 1 species
CGGGUAGAGUAAUGCGUGAAACCACCUGCCCAUGCUCCAGAAUAGCUCUUGGAAACGGGUGGUAAUGCUGGAUGCUCCAACUUGACGCAUGUCUUGUUGGGAAAGUGUUUAGUGGCAUGGGAUGGGGUCGCGUCCUAUCAGCUUGUAGGCGGGGUAAUGGCCCACCUAGGCUUCGACGGGUAGCCGGCCUGAGAGGGCGGACGGCCACAUUGGGACUGAGAUACGGCCCAGACUCCUACGGGAGGCAGCAGC